rnacentral:rRNA from 1 species
GAUGAACGCUAGCUACAGGCUUAACACAUGCAAGUCGCAGGACUGGCGCACGGGUGAGUAACGCGUAUCCAACCUUCCCAUAACUACGGGUUAACCGUUGCAAGACGGCCUAAUUCCCUAUUGUUAUUGAUUGGGAUGCGUCUGAUUUGCUUGUUGGCGGGGUAACGGCCCACCAAGGCGACGGUCAGUAGGGGUUCUGAGAGGAAGGUCCCCCACAUUGGAACUGAGACACGGUCCAAACUCCGACGGGAGGCAGCAGUGAGGAAUAUUGGUCAAGGGGCGAGAGCCUGAACCAGCCAAGUAGCGUGCAGGAUGACGGCCUAUGGGUUGUAAACUGCUUUUAUGUGGGGAUAGGUACCACAUGAAUAAGGACCGGCUAAUUCCGUGCCAGCAGCCGCGGUAAUUC